rnacentral:sRNA from 1 species
ACACCCGUUUUAUUUGUCUGUUAUGGGUUGCGACCGAGCUUAGCCUUGUUCAUUUUUUUACACAAUAGGGCUGUAAAAAAUUGAACACGGCCCACUGAGCACCGCACCCGGCCUGCUCUCCAGAGAAGUAUUAAUGCCCUGAAACGCCCCAAAACUGGCCAUCGAGCCCGUUUUUAGGGCAA